rnacentral:rRNA from 1 species
UGCAAGUCGAACGGUAACAGAUCGCUGUGAUCCCUUCGGGGUGAACUUGAUGCUGACGAGUGGCGGACGGGUGAGUAACGCGUAGGAAUCUACCCAGUAGCGGGGGAUAGCCCGGGGAAACUCGGAUUAAUACCGCAUACGCCCUAUGGGGGAAAGCGGGGGACCUUUCGAGGCCUCGCACUAUUGGAGGAGCCUGCGUUGGAUUAGCUUGUUGGUAGGGUAAAAGCCUACCAAGGCAACGAUCCAUAGCUGGUCUGAGAGGACGAUCAGCCACACUGGAACUGAGACACGGUCCAGACUCCUACGGGAGGCAGCAGUAGGGAAUAUUGCACAAUGGGCGAAAGCCUGAUGCAGCUAUGCCGCGUGUGUGAAGAAGGCCUUAGGGUUGUAAAGCACUUUCAGUAGGGAGGAAAAAGCUGGGUUAAUAUCCUAGUUAUAUGACGUUACCUACAGAAGAAGCACCGGCUAACUCCGUGCCAGCAGCCGCGGUAAUACGGAGGGUGCAAACGUUAAUCGGAAUUACUGGGCGUAAAGCGCGCGUAGGCGGUUGAUUAAGUGGGAUGUGAAAGCCCCGGGCUUAACCUGGGAACUGCAUUCCAAACUGAUCAACUAGAGUACGAGAGAGGGGGGUAGAAUUCAGAGUGUAGCGGUGAAAUGCGUAGAUAUUCUGAGGAAUACCGGUGGCGAAGGCGGCCCCCUGGCUUGAUACUGACGCUCAGGUGCGAAAGCGUGGGGAGCAAACAGGAUUAGAUACCCUGGUAGUCCACGCCGUAAACGAUGUCUACUAGCCGUUGGGGGGCUUGUCCCUUUAGUGGCGCAGCUAACGCGAUAAGUAGACCGCCUGGGGAGUACGGUCGCAAGAUUAAAACUCAAAUGAAUUGACGGGGGCC